AAUGAACGCUGGCGGCAUGCCUUACACAUGCAAGUCGAACGGCAGCAUGACCUAGCUUGCUAGGUUGAUGGCGAGUGGCGAACGGGUGAGUAAUGCAUCGGAACGUGCCUUUUAGUGGGGGAUAACGUAGCGAAAGUUACGCUAAUACCGCAUAUUCUCUGAGGAGGAAAGCAGGGGACCUUCGGGCCUUGCGCUAGAAGAGCGGCCGAUGUCGGAUUAGCUAGUUGGUGAGGUAAAGGCUCACCAAGGCAACGAUCCGUAGCGGGUCUGAGAGGAUGAUCCGCCACACUGGGACUGAGACACGGCCCAGACUCCUACGGGAGGCAGCAGUGGGGAAUUUUGGACAAUGGGCGCAAGCCUGAUCCAGCCAUGCCGCGUGAGUGAAGAAGGCCUUCGGGUUGUAAAGCUCUUUCGGCUGGGAAGAAAUCGCACCCUCUAAUACAGGGUGUGGAUGACGGUACCAGCAUAAGAAGCACCCGCUAACUACGUG
rnacentral:rRNA from 1 species